rnacentral:rRNA from 2 species
UUGACCUCGGAUCAGGUAGGGAUACCCGCUGAACUUAAGCAUAUCAAUAAGCGGAGAAA